CCUACGGGAGGCAGCAGUGGGGAAUAUUGCACAAUGGGGGAAACCCUGAUGCAGCGACGCCGCGUGAGUGAAGAAGUAUCUCGGUACGUAAAGCUCUAUCAGCAGGGAAGAAAAUGGCGGUACCUGACUAAGAAGCGCCGGCGAACUACGUGCCAGCAGCCGCGGUAAUACGUAGGGGGCAAGCGGUAUCCGGAUUUACUGGGUGGAAAGGGAGCGUAGACGGCAGCACAAGUCUGGAGUGAAAUCCCGGGGCUUAACCCCGGAACUGCUUUGGAAACUGUGCGGCUGGAGUGCAGGAGGGGUAAGCGGAAUGCCUAGUGUAGCGGUGAAAUGCGUAGAUAUUAGGAGGAACACCGGUGGCGAAGGCGGCUUACUGGACUGUAACUGACGUUGAGGCUCGAAAGCGUGGGGAGCAAACAGGAUUAGAUACCCUUGUAGUC
rnacentral:rRNA from 1 species